CUUACUAUAUAAACAAUGUUUAUAUAUAAUUUCAUAUACCUAACAUCAAAUUAACUUCAAAUAUCCUCUAGUUCUUCUUAUCUUUAGCAAAGGGCCAAAAAUUACAAGUAUACACAAAUUAUGAGGUUCAUUGUGGUAAUUGUUUUAGUCAUGUUGGUCAUGACAACAACUUCUAGCAUUGCUAGGGACCUAAUAGACAAUAACAAAGACGAUAAUAAUGAUUUAUGGCAUGAAGGAAGUAGAAAUGUGAAUAAUCACCAUUAUAUACCUCGACAAGACUUCAAUAGUGGUGAUGGGGGUCCUGUUCCUAAAGCUGAAGGAUCAAGGACAUGAUCAUAUACAGACUAAAUUCUGCAGAACUCGUAACUAUAUCAAGAAUACAGACUGAAUUUUGCAAAACUACUCGUAACUAUAUCGAGAAUACAGAGUGAACUCUGCAGAACUCGUAACUAUAUCGAUCAAGAUCUUGGAUGAAGUUGAAGUUAGAUAUAUGAUUAUGUAUCUAUAUGCUUGCAUGGUACUUAAUUAUUAUAUGUAUUUUAAUUAUGUGGUACGUAAUAGAUAGAAAUAUGAUAAUAUAGUAAAGCUUCAUGGUUGUACGUAGUAAUUAAAUAUGUUUUUUUUUUCUAAUGUUGCAUGCAAUGGUAAGUGUUGUGUAAUUUGUAAGUUAAAGAUUUGUAUAUAAAUAAACAACGUAGUAGUAAAAA